AUUGAACGCUGGCGGCAGGCCUAACACAUGCAAGUCGAGCGGAUGAAGGGAGCUUGCUCCUGGAUUCAGCGGCGGACGGGUGAGUAAUGCCUAGGAAUCUGCCUGGUAGUGGGGGAUAACGUCCGGAAACGGGCGCUAAUACCGCAUACGUCCUGAGGGAGAAAGUGGGGGAUCUUCGGACCUCACGCUAUCGGAUGAGCCUAGGUCGGAUUAGCUAGUUGGUGGGGUAAAGGCCUACCAAGGCGACGAUCCGUAACUGGUCUGAGAGGAUGAUCAGUCACACUGGAACUGAGACACGGUCCAGUCUCCUACGGGAGGCAGCAGUGGGGAAUAUUGGACAAUGGGCGAAAGCCUGAUCCAGCCAUGCCGCGUGUGUGAAGAAGGUCUUCGGAUUGUAAAGCACUUUAAGUUGGGAGGAAGGGCAGUAAGUUAAUACCUUGCUGUUUUGACGUUACCAACAGAAUAAGCACCGGCUAACUUCGUG
rnacentral:rRNA from 1 species